GUGGGGAAUCUUGCGCAAUGGGCGAAAGCCUGACGCAGCCAUGCCGCGUGAAUGAUGAAGGUCUUAGGAUUGUAAAAUUCUUUCACCGGGGACGAUAAUGACGGUACCCGGAGAAGAAGCUCCGGCUAACUUCGUGCCAGCAGCCGCGGUAAUACGAAGGGGGCUAGCGUUGCUCGGAAUUACUGGGCGUAAAGGGCGCGUAGGCGGACAGCUUAGUCAGAGGUGAAAGCCCAGGGCUCAACCUUGGAAUUGCCUUUGAUACUGGCUGUCUUGAGUUUGGGAGAUGUGCGUGGAACUCCGAGUGUAGAGGUGAAAUUCGUAGAUAUUCGGAAGAACACCAGUGGCGAAGGCGACUCACUGGCCCAAUACUGACGCUGAGGCGCGAAAGCGUGGGGAGCAAACAGGAUUAGAAACCCUGGUAGUCC
rnacentral:rRNA from 1 species